rnacentral:lncRNA from 1 species
CGCGCGCUCUCACCGCUGGCCGUGUGCACGUGCGUUCGAGCACGGGCGUGAGAGCUUUCUCCAGAGAGGUGGCACUGCAGUCCUGCCAGCACAGCCGCGUGGCUCUCUUUCCGGAGGUGUCUCCUUCCCGGGCCCACUCGCGCACCACCUUCCUCUGCUCGUGCUCGUUCGCGAGCUAGCUGGCUCACGGGCACCCGCACCAUGCAGCGUAGCGCUGGCGCCUUGCACGUGAGGUUUACCAUCUGCGGAUGCUUCCGAGAGGACCCGAGGCUGAACCUUGUUGCGUUUUGAAGUUGUUGCCCCUUAGACUGGGAAAGCAGAUUCAAAUUAAUGGAACUCUCCAACACCCAAAGGGGGAACAGACCUGAAGUAUUGUUUGCAAUAAAUGCUUCUCACUAAAUAGAAAAGCAAAUUUCUCAUAAUUCUACUCCAAAAGGGUGAAACACAUGUGUUUGAUAGACAUACAACUGUGACAAAUAACUUAGCCUUCUUUUAAAGAAAGGUACCUGUGGAACUUUCAAUAUGUUUGGUCCAGGGCACUAUUAGAUGUUACCCUGUUAGAAGAAAUGUGCCACUGUUGGGGUGGGCUUUGAGACCCCUCUCCUAGCUGCCUGGAAUACAGUCUGCUCCUUACUUCUUUUGGAUGAAGAUGUCGAACUCUCAGCUCCUCCAAUGUCAUGCCUGCCUGGAUGCAGCCAUCCUUCCUGUCAUGAUGAUAAUGGACUGAAUCACAGAACCUGUAAGCCUGCAUCAAGUCUGCAGGAUUAGGCACAUCCUUUCCCACUGAGGCUAGAUGUGGCAGCCCUCUGCUACAUAUGCGUCAGGGGCCUUGAACCAGGCUCUGUAUGCUUUUUGGAUGGUGGAUCAGUCUCUAGAAGCUCCCAGAGGUCCAGGUUAUUUGCUUUGUGGAUGAGUUUUCCAAAACUGACAGGGAAUGGAAUGCCUGAAUCCAAUUUAAUAUGGACAUGAGGGCCCCUAGGGCUUUUCCCAAUAGAAAAUAUUACCUUGCCUGUCUUUUGUUCAUCUGCAUUCAUUAGUCCAAUGUAGGCCUUUGCCAUGCCUUCUGCAUACUCCAGAAAGCUGGGGCCUUCUUUUUGGAUUAUCUCUAUGAAAAAAAAAACAAUAUUUCUAGAAAUGCCUUGCCUACAAUCUCUUUUCAUAUGAACUUGCUUAUCACAAUUAAAACAUCUGAUGUUUUUGUUUUUCUUCAAACUUUUAGAAAUUAUUUCUCCUAUCAAAGUAGCAUCAUAAACAUGAGAUCCAAUAUUGCCAUAUUUCCAGUCCAUUCAUCUAUUGGUUCUGAUGUUGCCUUGAAAGGCCUAAUCGCCCCUUUGCAUUCAGAAUUAGCAUUUUCAAAAGCCAAAGAUCUCAUUAAUAUUUGUCUGACUUCUGAAUCUGAUACUAUUUUAUUUACAGCUGAAGUCAACCUUUGCAAAAAAAAAAUAGUGAAGGCUGAUUUUGGGCCUUGCAUAAUUUCAGUAAAUGAUACAGCCCUCUUUCCUGGUUCUUCAACAUAAACAGAAACCCUAAAAUAAUGUCCUUUCUGGUAUCAUUUUGGAAGUCACCAAGGAGCAUUUCAUUCUGAUAUAAUUUUCUUUUCUUUACUAUAUCCAUGACUUAAUGUUCUAUUUUCCAAAUUUUGUGCAACUUUUUACAUUAAGUUUUAGAAUUCUAAUUUUUUUCAAUAGCCCUUUCUGGUUAUUUCAUAAAUGUAGUAUGCUCUCCAAUGUUUCUAAGAAUAUCCGAGAUUCUUUGGCAGCUUUAUGUUCAGCUUUCAUGUUGGAGUUUCCUCAAAUGUUGAGUGAUUCUUAGUUGUCAGUGUAUAUUGACUUCAAGUGACUAUAAGUUAUGUCAUAAUGAGCAGGGUUUGUAGUCUUUGGGUCUCACUGUAGCAAAUAGUUAAAUGCCAAAUUAUUGUUCAUCUUUUCUGGAUGGGUUGGGCAUGUCUGGAUAUACAUGCCCAUAACAGCCAGGUAAAGAAUGCAUGCAGGUUCACAAUGUUUUUAAUACUGGCAUUCUCAGUUUCCUUGUCCUCAACAUAGCUUUGGUCCUGUCUUUCCAUUCUCAGUUUUGUUUGGUUCAGUUUCUCCAGAAAAAUAAGCCUUCUGUAAUUUUUGUUUGUUUGUUUUUGUUUUUUAUUUUUCGAGACAGGGUUUCUCUGUGUAGCCCUGGCUGUCCUGGAACUCACUCUGUAGACCAGGCUGGCUGUGAACUCAGAAAUCCGCCUGCUUCUGCCUCCCAAGUGCUGGGAUUAAAGGCGUGCACCACCACUUUUGUUCCUCAUGCCUACUUUCAGUUGUCCCUUUAGACUUUGAAUGGUGUAGAAAGCAGCACUUGUCUUCUACAUUUGUAGACUUUUUCUUUCUCUAAACAUUUAUCUUUGCUAUUUUUAAAUUGUAUGUAUUUGUGUCUGUGUAUGUGCACAAAAAGACAUUGGAUCCCUUGGAGACAGAGUUUACAGGAGGAUGUUAGCCACCAGACAUGGGUGAGAAACCAGACAAAGGUUGUCUAUAAGAGUGCUCUUAGCCAUAGGGCCAUCUCCCUAGCUCCUUUUUUUCUGCUAUGGAAACUAAAUGAACUUAGCUGCUGGAACAUUGCUACCUACACCUUUUUCCCUAAAAGAGCUAUAAAUUGGCCUUUUCCUCAAUGAAGAAAAUAAGUACUUUAAAAGCCCACCAAUAAGGAUCAACAAAACACAACCACUUCUACGUACAAUUGAAGACAGCACUAUGAAAAUUAGAAAUGAUUUAAUUGUUAGUAUGAGUUAUUUUCACUCAAUACCAUGUCUCUUCAAUAAAGACUCUGAUCUGU